rnacentral:lncRNA from 1 species
UACGUGCACACAAUUAUAUUUAUUUUGUCAUGCAUAUUAUGAACAUUUUAUGUUACUAACAGUGUUAUAAUAUCAUAUUUCAAAAAUAAUAAUGUUAUUUUGUGCUAAUUGUAAGACUUGACGCUUUUAUUUUGAAGCGUGAUCCUGCUGAAACAGGAAGUGCUCAUUUUAUUUUUGGUCUUUCCGGCCCCCUCGUUAACCGCAGCGCGUCCGGUGUUUACGUGCUGGGGUCACGCACAAGUGACGCUCAUCAAUAAUAAUCUGCGGCAGCGUCCAGAUAUUAACGGAAGAGACAGAGAGAAGGGAGAGAGAGAGAAUUGACCGAUUCCCCGGGAAGAAACCAUCCCGGCGGGCAGCGAGGAGGAGCGGCCGGAGGAGAGGACCGAUCCUCCGCAUCUUCUCAGCUCGUCUUCACAGACAGACAGGUAGUCAUGCAGACAGACAGGUGUCCACCUAACGUGACUGAGGCUAAUCAGCUUUAAGCAGCAGCUCCAUCAGAUGACGACGGUCCCUCCGCCCAUGGCCUCCUCCAGGUGACCUCCAGUGACCUCAGUCACUCCUGACUGUAAUCCCUGAUCCAUCAGCAGACGAGGUGAGACCACACACACACAAACAAACCUCUAGGUGUACAGCCACACUACAAGGUUUUCCCUGCUGCAACGUUUAUAUUCAUUUAUGUUAUUUAUAUGAAAGGGGCAGGCAACAUUAAGAAGUGUUUUUAUGUAAAAUGUAAAUAUAUAUAUGAUACAUCGGACCAUUAGAGCUGCUAUAAUUCAGUGAAUCAGUUGAUUGACAAAGAAAUUAUUCAGCCAGUGUUUUGAUAAUCAAUUAUCUUUUCAAGCAAAAAGAAGAAAAACUUUGGCUGAUUCUUUUGUUAUAUAUAUAUAUACAUAUAAUCUAUAGUCUGUAAUCAGCCUGUGGUCAGAGAAGACGUCAGUGAGUAAAUCCUCGUCCUCUGCAUCAUUCAGAGAUACGUCAGCGAGCCUGAGUCUCAGGUGUUUGAUGCUCGCACGAGAAGAAGCAGCUCCUUUUCAACACCACUUCAGAGAAUCUGAGCUAAUUUUAUUUCUUUUGCUA